UCUUUCUCACAGCUCUUUCCUCUCUGCUCUGCGUCCACAGGCUCCCAGAGGCAGAGUCGGCAGAGGAGCACCGCUGGAAUUUGUGGCUGUUUUUCUCUCCUCUCAGUUCUGAAGGUGAGAAAUCUGAAAUCAAGGCAUUGGCGACGGUGGUCUGUGCUGGAGGCUCAGAGAGAAUCUUCCGCUAUUCCCCGCCCCCCGGCUCCUGGUGAUGGUGGCGCGGCUGGCCGUCCUUGGUCCUUGGCUUACAGCUGGGGUCGCCACUGAAGUGCCGCUUUAAUCCCAGGCCCAGCGCGGUGGGUUAAGGAUCCAGUGCUGGCGUCGCUGUCACAUAGGCUGCAGCUGUGGCUGGAAUUCGAUCCCAGGCCCAGGAGCUCCCAUGUGCUGCAGGGCCACAGAAGGAAAUCGCCCAUCUGGUCUUUUCUACCCCAACCCUCCCGUCAACAUCAGAAAGCGUGACCCGUUUCCCUGGAGCACGCCUGACAUCCACGCCAGCCUCCCCUGGGGGACCUUUACCCUUGGCGAGGGUAGGAGGAGCUCACAGCCCUCUCUGCAGAAAGCAAAUAGCCUUUGGUGACAAGGACAUCUUCCUAAUAAGCUGACUGUCUUGGAAGCGUGGGGACAGCCAGCUACUUCAUCAAGUCGCAAUCUCCAGGCUGUGAAGAACCUUCACGAAGGGACCUUGGAACAAUUAACUUCUGAUCAUUACUGAUGUGGGGUUUAGAACAAACACAGAAUGGGCCACCUGAUGCCAGGGGAUGACAGUCUGUGAACACAGGCCCAAUGAUGCCCCUGUCGGCCUCACCAGUGAGGUGCACACAGCCCACAUGCCCAGGACGGUGCUGGGGAGUUAACUCGUGCUGGUCAACUAGUUACGCUGAUGAGCCUGUAGCUGCUGACUGUUUUGGAGAAAUGCAGCCAGCUGUCUCGAUCAGAUAACAGGUUAUCAAAGGACCUGGAUGUUUGGAGUAACUUUGUCGGGAGACGGUGUUUCACACACAUGCAUUGUCUUCCCCGCUGAGGUCCCGGCUGUGACCCGACCUUGGGCAGAGGAGGAGGUGGAUGUCACUGGGUGGACAGGACAGUUAUUAUCAGCCCCCCAGACACUGUCUCUGAGUCCAGAUCUCACACGAGCAAUGCACACUGCGGGGCGCAGACACGCACCCUCCACCCAUGCUGCAAAUUCAGAUCCACAGCGAGGCGUGGGAGGAUUUUCACUGUCAACACAAUUUACUUAGAAGAUGAGGACACUGAAAGCAAGUAGCCCUUCAGGUGGUUUUUGGUAUCAUAAAAGCAGCAAAUAGGUAAAUAUUUGCAUUUCUUUUGAAUGUGAAAACAUCUCUUAUUUCAGCAGCAUUCUUCUAGGACAAAAAAUACUUCAUCAACAAUACUGGCUAAAUAUGUGACCUUUGCAUGAACCUAAAUAUGCAUUUAUACCCAAGGCUCUAGAUGUUAAUCAUUUAAAUGUCAAAACAUGCAUUUACAUAUGGAGCUACGUAAUAAGCAGAUAUUAACCUUAUUUGUUUGUAUUAAUUUUAUUAACAUAAAGCCCUAAACUUGAAAGCUCAGCCUCUAGCAAUUUUGAUUUAAAUAGUAAGGGGCUGCUAUUCCAAUUCAAUGAUCGGUUCUCUGAUUUUUUUUUUUUUUUUUUUUUUUUUUUUUNNNNNNNNNNNNNNNNNNNNNNNNNNNNNNNNNNNNNNNNNNNNNNNNNNNNNNNNNNNNNNNNNNNNNNNNNNNNNNNNNNNNNNNNNNNNNNNNNNNNNNNNNNNNNNNNNNNNNNNNCGUCUGCAACCUACACCACAGCUCACGGCAAUGCCGGAUCGUCACCCCACUGAGCAAGGGCAGGGACCGAACCCGCAACUUCAUGGUUCCUAGUCGGAUUCGUUAACCACUGCGCCACGACGGGAACUCCAGUUCUCUGAUUUUUAAAUCUGAAAGAUUGCUGCUAAUCAUUCAGUUUCAUCAUAAUGUGGUUUAAGGGUUUUAUGGGGGAGAGAGAUUACUAUUUCUUUUUCUGGAAAUCCCCCAAUGAUGAUUGAAUUCCAUCUUUUCCUCCACUACCUUGUUUUCCCUGAUUUAGCAAGUGGAAAGCUGGGUUUCUCCAAAAGUGUUCGCUGCCAAAACCAGGUGGCCAGUUUCUUGCCGUAGGUUCAAAAUCUACCGAGCUUUGGACUGGCUGCCUGCGCCCAUGGCAGCUACCUGCGCCAGGGAGGCCAAGGUGGGCUUCGUGGAGGCGGCGUCGGCGGGGCGGGGCGGCUGCGCAGUGAGCAUUUCCCAAGGAAGGUCGGGGGCCGGGCUGCGUGGCUGAGUGAGGCUGGGCUGCCGGGGCCCACGGAGCUGGCCUGCACGCUCUGCGGCGCCCGCUGUCCUUCCUCCUGCACCUGUAGGUGCCGCUGCCUGGCACCGCCAUCGUCGCCUUUCACCACCGCCUCUUCCUCUUCUGCUGCCAGACGCCGUGCUGCCAUGUGUUUUUAGACAUCGGCUCCCCAGGAGAAACUACUCUACUCCUAUGAACCACCUUCUGAGCUCCCCCAGCGACAGGAGACUCCCUGAGCCUCCAGCGCAAGUGUGGGGCUCAUCUCUGCAGGGUCUGUGGCUGUCGAGGUCCCACAAACGUGUUCCAGAUGUCACCAGGCACAUUUCUGCAGUAAGGAGCAUCAGGCACGGGACUGCAGAUUGGGACACAAGCAGGCUUGUGCACAAGCAGGUGAUUUGGACAGUACAGUUCCAGACAGAACUGCUUUUUCCCAGAAUUUGAAAUUGUAAUAGAAACAGAAGAUGAGAUUAUGCCUGAAGCUGUAGAAAAAGAAGAUGAAUCAGAGAUUGUAGGGAGCAUGGCUGAAGCACCCGAGGAAGAACUGGAUUCGGCGCAAAGCAUGACUCUAGGGAGGAUGGAAUUUUCCAGAAGUUUAAAAUAUCCCUUGAACCAGAACAGGUCAUGCCUCAGCUGCUCAACGAGCUGAAGGCUGACAGGCUGGGCAGAGUGUUGACUGGGGCAUCCUGGCCUUCUUCACCUGUGCUGAAAGCUCUGGACUAGGUACUGGCUACACAGAGGAAUUUGUUUGCAACCAGCACGUACUAGAUACAGUUUAAAGACAAUGUUGGAAAGCUUUAAAAAUAUUCAUAAUCGCUUAGACCUUGCAAUUGCAUUUCUAGGACUUUAUCCUAAGGAAACAGCUGUGCUAGAGAUACACAAAGAUCAUGUUUUAGGUCUUGUUUGCAGUGUCUUUAGAUUAGACAAAAAUGUCCACUGACAGGGAAGUCAAUUUUGGUGCAUCCCGUCGGUAGGAGGCUAUGCAGUCUUAAUGAUACAGACCUAUAUACAGAUCAAAUAAGAUAUAGACAGGUCUUCUUAGUACAACUGUAUUUUCAUAAAAACAUUUAUACCUGUGUAUGUGUCCAAAAAUGAUCUGGAAAGAUAAACACUAGAUGUGAAUUGGUCUCAACAGUGGGACUAAGUGACAAAAUAUUUCUACUUAUAUUUCUUUCUACAAUAAAAAUGGGUUGUGUGUCAAAAAAACAAACAAAAA
rnacentral:lncRNA from 1 species